UCAGCCGCCGCGGUAAAACCAGCACCUCGAGUGGUCAGGAGGUUUAUUGGGCCUAAAGCAUCCGUAGCCGGUUGUUUAAGUUUUCGGUUAAAUCUAUGCGCUUAACGUAUAGGCUGCCGAAAAUACUGGAUAGCUAGGGAGUGGGAGAGGUACACGGUACUCAAUAGGAAGGGGUAAAAUCCUUUGAUCUGUUGAUGACCACCUGUGGCGAAGGCGGUGUACCAGAACACGUUCGACGGUGAGGGAUGAAAGCUGGGGGAGCAAACCGGAUUAGAUACCCGGGUAGUCCCAGCUGUAAACGAUGCAAACUCGGUGAUGCAUUGGCUUGUGGCCAAUGCAGUGCCGCAGGGAAGCCGUUAAGUUUGCCGCCUGGGAAGUACGUACGCAAGUAUGAAACUUAAAGGAAUUGGCGGGGGAGCA
rnacentral:rRNA from 1 species